GAUGAACGCUGGCGGCGUGCCUAAUACAUGCAAGUCGAGCGAACGGACGAGAAGCUUGCUUCUCUGAUGUUAGCGGCGGACGGGUGAGUAACACGUGGAUAACCUACCUAUAAGACUGGGAUAACUUCGGCAAACCGUAGCUAAUACCGGAUAAUAUUUUGAACCGCAUGGUUCAAAAGUGAAAGACGGUCUUGCUGUCACUUAUAGAUGGAUCCGCGCUGCAUUAGCUAGUUGGUAAGGUAACGGCUUACCAAGGCAACGAUGCAUAGCCGACCUGAGAGGGUGAUCGGCCACACUGGAACUGAGACACGGUCCAGACUCCUACGGGAGGCAGCAGUAGGGAAUCUUCCGCAAUGGGCGAAAGCCUGACGGAGCAACGCCGCGUGAGUGAUGAAGGUCUUCGGAUCGUAAAACUCUGUUAUUAGGGAAGAACAUAUGUGUAAGUAACUGUGCACAUCUUGACGGUACCUAAUCAGAAAGCCACGGCUAACUACGUG
rnacentral:rRNA from 1 species